AACGCUGGCGGCGUGCUUAACACAUGCAAGUCGAACGGAAAGGCCCUGCUUUUGUGGGGUGCUCGAGUGGCGAACGGGUGAGUAACACGUGAGUAACCUGCCCUUGACUUUGGGAUAACUUCAGGAAACUGGGGCUAAUACCGGAUAGGAGCUCCUGCUGCAUGGUGGGGGUUGGAAAGUUUCGGCGGUUGGGGAUGGACUCGCGGCUUAUCAGCUUGUUGGUGGGGUAGUGGCUUACCAAGGCUUUGACGGGUAGCCGGCCUGAGAGGGUGACCGGCCACAUUGGGACUGAGAUACGGCCCAGACUCCUACGGGAGGCAGCAGUGGGGAAUAUUGCACAAUGGGCGGAAGCCUGAUGCAGCAACGCCGCGUGCGGGAUGACGGCCUUCGGGUUGUAAACCGCUUUCGCCUGUGACGAAGCGUGAGUGACGGUAAUGGGUAAAGAAGCACCGGCUAACUACGUGCCAGCAGCCGCGGUGAUACGUAGGGUGCGAGCGUUGUCCGGAUUUAUUGGGCGUAAAGGGCUCGUAGGUGGUUGAUCGCGUCGGAAGUGUAAUCUUGGGGCUUAACCCUGAGCGUGCUUUCGAUACGGGUUGACUUGAGGAAGGUAGGGGAGAAUGGAAUUCCUGGUGGAGCGGUGGAAUGCGCAGAUAUCAGGAGGAACACCAGUGGCGAAGGCGGUUCUCUGGGCCUUUCCUGACGCUGAGGAGCGAAAGCGUGGGGAGCGAACAGGCUUAGACACCCUGGUAGUCCACGCUGUAAACGGUGGGUACUAGGUGUGGGGUCCAUUCCACGGGUUCCGUGCCGUAGCUAACGCUUUAAGUACCCCGCCUGGGGAGUACGGCCGCAAGGCUAAAACUCAAAGGAAUUGACGGGGCCCCGCACAAGCGGCGGAGCAUGCGGAUUAAUUCGAUGCAACGCGUAGAACCUUACCUGGGUUUGACAUGGAUCGGGAGUGCUCAGAGAUGGGUGUGCCUCUUUUGGGGUCGGUUCACAGGUGGUGCAUGGCUGUCGUCAGCUCGUGUCGUGAGAUGUUGGGUUAAGCCCCGCAACGAGCGCAACCCUUGUUCACUGUUGCCAGCACGUUAUGGUGGGGACUCAGUGGAGACCGCCGGGGUCGACUCGGAGGAAGGUGGGGAUGACGUCAAGUCAUCAUGCCCCUUAUGUCCAGGGCUUCACGCAUGCUACAAUGGCUGGUACAGAGAGUGGCGAGCCUGUGAGGGUGAGCGAAUCUCGGAAAGCCGGUCUCAGUUCGGAUUGGGGUCUGCAACUCGACCUCAUGAAGUCGGAGUCGCUAGUAAUCGCAGAUCAGCAACGCUGCGGUGGAUACGUUCCCGGGGCUUGUACACACCGCCCGUCAAGUCAUGAAAGUUGGUAACACCCGAAGCCGGUGGCCUAACCGUUGUGGGGGAGCCGUCGAAGGUGGGACUGGU
rnacentral:rRNA from 1 species